rnacentral:rRNA from 1 species
UACGUAGGGGGCAAGCGUUGUCCGGAAUCAUUGGGCGUAAAGCGCGUGUAGGCGGUUCAGUAAGUCUGCUGUGAAAGUCCAGGGCUCAACCCUGGGAUGCCGGUGGAUACUGCUGGGCUAGAGUACGGAAGAGGCGAGUGGAAUUCCUGGUGUAGCGGUGAAAUGCGCAGAUAUCAGGAGGAACACCGAUGGCGAAGGCAGCUCGCUGGGACGUGACUGACGCUGAGACGCGAAAGCGUGGGGAGCAAACAGG